AUUGAACGCUGGCGGCAGGCCUAACACAUGCAAGUCGAGCGGAUCGGCGGACGGGUGAGUAAUGCCUAGGAAUCUGCCUGGUAGCGCGGGAUAACGUCCGGAAAUGGGCGCUAAUACCGCAUCCUAUCAGAUUAGCCUAGGUCGGAUUGGCUAGUUGGUGGGGUAAAGGCCUACCAAGCCGACGAUCCGUAACUGGUCUGAGAGGAUGAUCAGUCACACUGGAACUGAGACACGGGCCAGAUGCCUACGGGAGGCAGCAGUGGGGAAUAUUGGACAAUGGGCGAAAGCCUGAUGCAGCCAUGCCGCGUGUGUGAAGAAGGUCUUCGGGUUGUAAAGCACUUUAAGUUGGGAGGCGGUACCAACAGAAUAAGCACCGGCUAACUUCGUGCCAGCCGCCGCGGUAAUUC
rnacentral:rRNA from 1 species